UACGUAGGGUGCAAGCGUUGUCCGGAAUUAUUGGGCGUAAAGAGCUCGUAGGCGGUCUGUCGCGUCUGCUGUGAAAACUCGGGGCUUAACCCCGGGCCUGCAGUGGGUACGGGCAGACUAGAGUGCGGUAGGGGAGAAUGGAAUUCCUGGUGUAGCGGUGGAAUGCGCAGAUAUCAGGAGGAACACCGAUGGCGAAGGCAGUUCUCUGGGCCGUAACUGACGCUGAGGAGCGAAAGCGUGGGGAGCGAACAGG
rnacentral:rRNA from 1 species